CCGAGUUCUCGGGCUUCGGCUCGACUCUCCCACCCUUUGUGAACGUACCUCUGUUGCUUUGGCGGCCCCGGCCGCCAGAGGACCUUCAAACCCCAGUCAGUAAACGCAGACGUCUGAUAAACAAGUUAAUAAACUA
rnacentral:misc_RNA from 1 species